ACAAUAUUAUCUUCUGUAUUAAGGGUUUUUUAUUUACUUUGAUCAAUAAGCUAAAUUGCGCAAUUAGAUCAAUUUUAUAUUUUUCUAUAAAGCAUGGAUUUCUUAAGAUGGUAAAACUAGCAAAGUAUUGUUAGACAAUCCACACCUUUAAAAAUGCUCUCUUGAUCAAAGAAUAAAGCUUUCCGUCGGCGCAUGUAAUUUUCUCAAGUAAGGUGAACCUACCUUACAAAAUGAGGGAGGCUUUCCAUUGUCAACCCCAUCAAUAGCUGCUGUUACUUAUAAAACAAAUAAAGAGAAACUUGGCUUACUGGCUAGCUAACUGCAGGAAAAACCUCUAAGAAUAUGUUUUUAGUUGUAUUAAAGUAAAUGUUGAGACAUUACCCUAAUUAUUUCCUAUUUAGUUACUGCAAUUAGGCUAUAAUUACAGAAUAGAAUCAGCUGUAUUUAUGUCAUUAGGAUCUCCUGUAAUUAUGUUAGCUUCCUAUUUUGCAUUCUCCAAAGCUGUAUAAAUAAAUACCAAGCUUGAGAGGAUUAAUCAAGCUUUUCCCUCAAAUUUGGUAUUAAUCUUGAAUUUAUUUCUGUUGCAGCAGCAAUGUGCAUUACAGUUGGGUAGGUGUCAUUGGAAGACUGUGAUCUGUUCACAUGGUCAUUUGGGUGUACAAACUUUUCAGCACGCUUAUGUCCAAGAAUCUCAGAUGCUCUAUUGGCAAUAACCUCAUUGGCAUUCAUGUUACUCUGAGUGCCACUGCCAGUUUGCCAUACAGCAAGUCGGAAAUGAUCAUUUAGCUUCCCUUCAGCCACCUUUCAAGCAGCUUGCUUACAGCCUUCCCCAUGGAUGAAUCAAGCCAUACUACUCGUUCACCUGCAAUACUUGACAGCGCACUUCUUAAGAAUUCCAAAGGCACGAAUGAUUGGUUCCUGCAUCGGCUCACGCUCGCCGCCAAUUUCAAAAUUUUGCAAUGAUCUUUGAGUUUGUGCACCCCACAACCUAAAGCAUACAAGAAACAAGCAAUUAGCCAGAGGAAUUUAAAUAAAAAAUAAUAAUAAAUAAACAGAGGCAUCUUCUUUUUAUGGUGUGAUCCAUGAAAUGAGUAGAGCGCGACAAAGCUGAAAACUUAAAAAGGAGAAUUCUGGAGAAAGACA
rnacentral:misc_RNA from 1 species